AAGGGGAAGCCGCUCAGGGGUGCAGCUCUGUGUCGCUGGUGGAGGAAACACGGGGGACAUUACACUCGGGCUCCGUCGCCUGAGUGCGCGCUCUGGAUGGCAACUCCACCAAGUGCGAGGCAAGAGAACUAAAACUCCUGUGGUGCGCAGUGGGUUUCUGGGUCCUCUGCAACCAGGGCUCCGACGGCUUCUAGGUGUGUGGACCCGGAAGCACCAAGGAGAAGGCAGAGCUGAGGGCAGCAUUUGCAGGACUGGGAAGACGCAACCAGGCAGGCGAGGAGCCAGUGCUCCUUGUUCUAAGGGAAGAGGUUGUGCAAACACCCAGGUGUAGAAAUUGUAAGAUGCAGUGAGACUAGACAGACUAAAGCUACUGGUGUAGCUUCAGCUAGGGACCCACUGUGAAGAGAGGUUUGGACUCACACGGUGAAGCACCUUGAACACUGCUUAUUACACGGCCUCGGUGUGGUUUUACAGAGAAUGAUAAGCUGUAGCAUUAUGCAGUGUACCACCUAAACAACUGUACAGUACUUAGGAGCUUGUCUAACUCUUUGGAAUUCAGUCCUGCAGGUAGCUGCGAGCAGCUGAAGGUUUUGGAAUGUGAUGUCAGGAUUUGAUUUCUAUCUUGGAGCAGUUUUGGAAAUGGACCACAAAUCAACGAAAUAACUGACCCACCAGCUUGGGAGUAGAGACAGGAGUUAUGGUGCCCUUUAAGCCCAGCCCCUCGGCGGCCACAGCCUGAGAACCUAUAGGGUUUGAAAAGUCCUUAUACAAGUUCACAGUUCCUCUGAGCUAAAAAAUAAAUUCAGAAUAAAACAGAUCACAGUUGUCUGACAUUUCUAAAAUUCUCCUUAUCUGGUGUCACGGGGUCUGCCCGGAUGGAGAAGGGGCAGAGAGGCUGUCUGCACCCUGGAGUGGAGGGAAUGGGAAGGCAGCAGCGGGUGGCAGAGGAUCUGGUCACAGUUGCCCAGUUUCCUCUUUGCUGUCUCUGAGAACCAUUGUUUUGUGGCCUGGGUCUAAAACAGAGACAGAUCUGCGAUUGUGCCAAGAAAAACUCCCUGGGCCAGCUCUGAGACUACUGCACACACGGGCGUGGACCAGUGCAAGUGUGUUUCAAAAGCAAACAGUGGUGUGCAGUCCCUCACACGCGGGCAAAGCGAUUGACCAUGACUUGUGGGGUCACGGGCUCCUCCAAUGCCCUUCAACCCGAACUCACAAUUGGUCGUCCUAGGAAACAGAAGCCAGGGGGGCUCCCAGUUACCCCUCACUCAAUUCUGCUGGGAAGACUGACAAUCGAGGAGAUUAGAGCCGCUCUGCAAGCCCAGAAGGGGUGGAGCCGAUGCUGGGGCCAGGGGUCGUGUUUUGGGGUCAGAGGCCUGGGAGCUUCUGCCAUCGACCCCUGCCUGAAGGUUCAAGUUUGAUCUGUCAUUUGCAAAUGCCUGUGUCAGAUAAUUCAUCUCCUGUGGCCACAGCACAGUGUGACUUGGCUGGAGGAACGAAGCAUCGUGGAGAAAAGCAGCACCCAGGACAUCACAGAAAACUUUAAAAGAUUCCAAGACGGGCCCUGCCCUAGGCAGAGACAGCAGAGGUCAAAAAUUCACUCCAGGCCUGCUGGGGACUAGGAGCCUGGGGAUAGAACGUGGCUCUUCCCCAAGAUAGGGUCCCCAUCUGGGGCACUCAGACACCCUGGACCAGCCCGGUCCACCCCAUAGCUUCCCACCCAACCCAGCAUCGACCUGGUCACCCUGCCUCAGAUGAGAGAAUGGAGUUGACAGCCAGGGGUGGGGCAUGUGGACUGUGGAUGCAGAACCGAGGAACAGAGAUGGAAACAUGUCAGCUGCCCAGGGGCUGUGGCGGAGGUAUCCACAGAAGGCCACCAGGGAGAGCAGCCAAGUGCCACUUGGCUCUUUGCAGAGAGCACUGCAGCGGCCACAUGUGCUGAAACUUGGGAGGGAGGCGAGCUCUGUGAGCACCACAGCAUCACCCACUGGACACCUGGUCCUGCCCUCCUGGAUCCCCUCUGCCUGGGCCCUCUCCUCACACACAGCCAUGUGAGCUCCCAGACAGAUAUAAUAUUGCACGUGCAAUGUUAUGUGACACACAGGCCAUCACAACCCGACCAACCAGCCCAUCGUGAGUGACACGCGUAGUCCGAUAAUGCCCUUGUGCACAGCACAAUCAAGACCCUUGAACCUGGCUCUGUGACGUGCCGUGGGCCCACCUGUCUCCCCUCUUGACUGCUCACCUCCCCACCACCACCUGCUGGUCACAGUAGCAGAGGCAGACCCCCUCAGUGUCACCACAGCCCACACUCAGCAUUGAUCCUACUGUACCUCUUGGAUGUCCUGCUGAAUUCUUUGUUUGGGACAAGACCCCAGGCCAGCAAUUCACCCUCUGUUGAAGUAGAACCCAGGGUAGAUGGCAGGGUAACGAUGUAACACUGGUGCCUCUGCCACUGACACAAGUGGACACCGCUAACUGAGAGCAAGGAAAAUACUCCAGCCAGCCCUCAGGACAAGGCGGGCAUCGUCACAGCGGGGCUGAACUGCACCCACUUCCAGCAACUCAUGACUCUCAAAAACGCAGCAUUGGAAGCAGGAAGAACUGGCUUGGCGUCCCUCUCUCCAGAGCCACUUUUUCUGCGGCACUGCUCCAGCACUCCUGGUAAGGAUGGGUGGAAACUGCAGAAAGCAAGAUCCAGCCAGCUGUUGGCCCUCCCUGCACCGCCCAGAGCAUCCCUCUCCUGUCCCAUGGGCCUAUCUGAUGGAAAGUUGGCCCAUCUUUGCCACAGUAAGUAAAAACCAGCACCCGGACAGCUGCAGGAGGAAGCACCUGCCUGGAGACCCCACCUGGGCUGCCAAGGCCCCGGACCCCACGAGAAAUGAAGACCCAGGAGGCUGUGCCAUAGGCUGUGCUGGAGCCCUGGCCCUGUGCAUUACGGAACUGUAGCCAGCCAGCUUGUGGGACAGGGUGACACCUUUCUAUCCCUGGACAUCAGAUGCCAAGAGCAGGUGCUCAUCACGGUCUAAGAAAAAGAGUUAAAAGUUGUCCAAGAAUCACCUGAUUGGGGAAUUCACUGAGGGUUACUCUAAUGUCCAGCCAAAGCCAGCAGUGACUGACACUUCAUAGUUUCCAGUGGGCUCAGUCCAUGGCCUGCUGGCUCCAAGGCAGAGACAACAUGGUGGAAGGGCUUGGUGGAGGAAAAUUGCUCAUGGUGGCCAGGAAACAGACAGGAGGAGCCUGAGAUGUGAACAUACCCUUCCACCUCACAACCCAAUGACUCACCCCUUCCUACCAGACCCCACCUCCAAAAGUGAGGCUUUUGGGGACAUCUUAGAUGUAAACUAUAACAACCUGGGACCUCAUGGCUGGAGAGUGUCCCCGUUCUUAGGGAACCAAGACAUGUCACCCAAGGUUGGGGCAGUCUGGAGACUCGGGACUCUUUCCCCACGUUCAGAUCCACCCCUUCAUCCCAUCCACAGUGUCCCUGUCAACCACCAAGACCAAUGGUGGGUUCUGAGAAGAAGGUGAUGGAGGUGUGACCUGAUUUCUCAGUGGCUGUUGGGGUUGAGAGACAGGGAGAGCCAUGAGGAGACCGCUGGGGCGACUCGUGGGAUGGAACAGUGGGGAUUGUGAGAAGUCUUACUUGGGUGCUCAUUUAAGGCAGGGCCAACAGGCUGUCCUGGCAGACUGGACCUGGAGGGUGAGAGGAAGGAGAAAGCCAGUGCAGUUCCAAUGGAUUUGUCGCACCUUGGAGAAGGCAGCUGCUGUUGGAAGAGAACCCCCCCCCCGCCUUGAAGUGGGAGGGACUGAACCAAGAAUGUGUCCACCAGCAAGGCCAUCUUCUGCCUCUGCUCUAUCCUCCCAGGCUUCGGGUCUCUCUGUUCAAUAAGGGAAAUAAGACCCAACUGAUUGCUUACGGAAACACCAGACCUUAUUACAAAUGAACACUUUCCCCAGAGCUCUCAUGUCCGGAAGUCAGACACGUUUACUCUGGGGCAGCUGCCAACAUAUCUUUGGAAUCCUUUUCUAGGGAUUGAGUUGAUUUAUGGCCCAUCCAAGAAAAAUCAGUCUUAUCGUUUCUCUCCAGAAGGUCAGUUGAAACAUUUACUGUGUAAAUCAGACCUGACUCUUCCAAACAUUGAAACUUUUUUCCCCAGGAUGACCAUCUGCCACCAUGCAGAAUAAGCAAAUCUCCAGCUGUGGCCAUCUCAUUGGAAAACCAACUAUGAUUCCAGGCAGGAUGAAUUUUCCUCUGUACUCCAGCACCCACGGGUGGCAGUGAGGACCCUUGCUCUCCUGAGCUCCAGCUCCCCUGCCCUUGACACUGGGCGAGAGGCAGAGUGAGGGCUUCGUGACAGCCCAGCACUCACCUGGCUAGAAAGACCGUAUGAUCUGGCUUUAAAACAGUGUCACUUUGUCAUUUAUGAUCCACAAGGCUUUCUCUUAGCAUCUCUUUCAUCAUUCUAGAGGUGAGAAAACCCUCUGAACCCAGUUUGCUCAUUCGUGAAAGGUGGCCAAUGACGAUUGUAUCCUUCUCCCAGGACAGUUUGGAAGAGGAACACACUACUGCCAACAAAGAACCUCACACACUGUGCAGGCAGCUCUUGAGCGACCUGGACACAUUGCUGUCCUCCACCCUCACGUGGGAUCAUGGUCACUAGACCACGGCGCACCUUUUGCUUUUCCUGGAGGAACACACUUUCUGGCUCCAGCUGAUACUGUGCUGUCUUCCUCACCCUCGUCUGGUUUUCCCCAGAUCCCCUCUGAGCACCUCUGUAGCUUGGAUGGUUGUGGGGUUGGGUGGCCACCUUGCCAUGUCUCCCCUCCUCUGAGGGCAGGCAGGUGGCCCUCCUGCCCAAGCCAGCACCCCAAAUUAUCAGCCACCUCUGUUUCCUCCACAUCUGCCAAGCAGUUGUCAGCUGCUGCCUGGAUUUUUCUCCACGGAACAGCACAGACUUUGCAGCACAAGGUGGGACCCUGGGCUGGCCCUACACGAGGGGCCAUGAGACCUGUCCGUCAAGCCUCAGAGUCCUCCCUCUCCAUCGAGUUUUCCAUUGACCUGAGAAAUGGCCAUCGGCUGCUGCCGGGGGACUUUUCUUCCUUCAAGAGAAUUUUAGAGACAUUUUAACACGGGGGCUUCUGAAAUCCAUGAUUCAUGCUUAAAAUCUGAUUCACUAGUAGAUCGGUUGUGUGAAAUGAGUUUGGGCCAAAAUGUCUUCUAGAAGGACACACGCAUGCAUGCAUACACACAUAGAUUAAAGAAUCGCCUUCCAUUCGCUCCUUGGAAUACAAGUUAGGGUGGACCCUCAAGACAGCUUGAGGAUCUCCUCCAUCCCCUUCUUUCCUUCCUUCCCCUCCUCCCCUAACCCUUAAAGAAGAUCCACAUACCCCAGUUGAUCUGCUCAUUGUCCAAAUUAGAUGAGAAAAUGGAUUUAAAAGUUCCUUGCUCUGUGCCGGUCCCUAAUAGUCACUUUAUUAAUGAUUGGUUAAUUGUUUUCCAUCCCUCACAUCUGCACACCAAAACACCGAAGGUGGAAUCUCUGGGCCGUGAAUGUCCUUGUUGUACAUAUCCUUCAUCCCAUCUCGGCCCAGCUGCAACAGCCCAGCCGUGCCUGUCUUUGUUUCUGAGUCUCUGGACUUUGUAGAAACUUCCAACCCCUCGACUUGACAAAUGACUUUCUAAGUGGAGGGGGUUUUACAUUUAAUAUGCAUCAUGAGAAACAUCAGAGCUAUGCUCAGGAGAUCAAAUGGUUUCUUCAGCUAAGAAUGUAAGCAUUAUCCCUAUUAAUAUCUUUCCAACAAAGGCCCAGGCUCCCCAUCCCCGACAACUCUAUGAUCUCAGUUUAUUAACAUUGCCAGUCUCCCCCACUUGCUGCCCCUGCUGCAGACUGGGUCACAGUCUAAGGUCCACCCUCCACACACACACUGCCUUGGCAGGGCUGCACAGGGGAAAAAACUCUCUGUCAUCAUAAAUCAUAAAAUCAAACAACCAAACGCCAUCUCCGGGGAAAUAAAUUCUGAAGAGCUAAGGAGGGAAAAGGGGGGGCUAUGAUUAUUUUAAUCCUAUUCCAGAUGCUCUGGUCUGCUCCCUAAACAAAACCUGAAUUAAUUGCAAGCCUUAGUCAAAGAGAUAAUAGCUGCAUGCGGGUGUAGGCAAUGUUGGGCAAGGAAUAGUUGCUCAGUUAAUGUUUAUGUAAAAAUAAAUGAGUGUAAAUGCACAAGAGUUCUGUGGACGCCGCCUUUGCCAGACAAGAUGGCUCAUUGUGACAGAGUUCCCCACAGCGUCCCUACCCAGUGACCUGGGUGCUCUGCUUUUCAAAAGCACCUUCAUACUUACUAGCUAGUUUGACUCGAGCAGCAAUCGAAGCUUGCACUUGGCCUUGGGAGAAUGCACUUCUGUAAAAGCCUCAAAGAGUGGACUGAGGUGACACUUGCACGCAGAAGCGUGCACACACACACACAUGCACGCGUGGAGGAAAAGCUGUUCUCAUAAGAAUUUUGAACCAUUGAAAGAUGUCAAAACCUCUGUGAGUACACAAAGGCAUACUGAUUCUUUACCAAAACCGGAAUGAAUUAAAAUCACUUACACUCUUCUUUACCACCCCUCAAAAGUGUCGUCGAGGAUGGACACUUUGGCUCCAAAGGGCAAAAGGGCCACAGAAGCGCCCUGGUGUUCAGCCACCCAAUCCUGAAACCAAUGACAAAAUGAAGGGCUCCCUGGGCCUCCUCUUAUGCAUUACAAGAUGGGAAGGAGAUGCCUGGCGCUACCCUACAUGCCAGGAUUCUUGGGUGAAUAAAAGCAGACAAGGUAAAAAAGAUCUCAGAAGAGCAGAAAUGGAAGAACAGUAGGGGAAGGACAGACAGCAUGGGGUGAGCCAGGGUGCUUGGUGCCAAAAUGGCACCAGGUGACAGGAGUAACAACACCCAGGUCGUCUUGGUUCUGGUUUGUGGUCCCAGACGGCUUGCUGCAGGAUCGGGCAUUCUGUGGGGCCAGAGCCUAGGCUAUCUGGAAGACCCCAGAGCUGGGAGGCCACCAGCUGAGUGACCUGGAGCUGACCCGUGUCUCCCAGCUCCUCCACUCCCUUCCGGGUCCAGGGCUCACACCUUUGCCUCCUGGAGGCCACGUAAGAAGCAGGCAGGUGCUGGGGCCUGGCACACAGAGAGGCUGCCCAGAUGUGGCCUUCACUCCCAAGACCCUCUGGGGGCAGGGGCUUCCUCACUGUUUCCAGUCUGCUCUUUUCUCAAAUUCUGCUUCAUCGCUCCGGGUUUCCUCCCACAGCCCUCUCUCUCUGUGGCCCAGCCCGGCCCGCCAGGAGCCUUGGAAAGUCGCGUUGUGCAGAGAAGCAGAUGGCUCUGCCUCCUCCUCCAUCCCCUGCUAAGUGGAUCUGGUGCCCUG
rnacentral:lncRNA from 1 species